rnacentral:lncRNA from 1 species
AUGCAUAAACAACUUGAUAGACAAAAGCUCUCGGCUCUAAUUAUUUCCACUUCUCUACAGCCACUUCCUCCCUUUGUCAAUGUAUAUGUGUAUACUUGCAGCUCCCACUUCCCACAGUCUAGCCCCGCUUCCUGCACUGGCCUGGCUGUUCCGUCCCCCACCGAUGGCCGCAGAGCAUACGAUUCCAGGAUUCCUCCUCUGUUUCAGGAGCCCCUCCCUUCUCCCCUUCAUGUGUCAAGACAUCAGGACCUCAAAUUUGGCUGGCAAUUUCUCUGGGUGAAGCAGGGAGCAUCACACAUUACCCCCCAGAGUCACUAUGGUCAUCCCCAAAUGUGUCCUCAGCGUCUAUCAGCGACUUGUCCUCCUGGGGCUUCAUGACGGAUUCUCGGCAGUCCUGAAUCCUACGGACUGCUUACAGACUCUGUACAGAUUGGCACUUUUCCCUGUUCUUUUUUCUUCUUAAAAAUGUUGAAUAAAGAAUCACUCAUGGUGUUUCAUAGUUGAUGUUGGCAACUGCCUAUUUCUCACACAUAUACUAUACGUCUACCAUUUCACUUGUGGCAAAGGGAAACCCACGUCUGUAUGGUUCAAGAUAGAAACAAUCUCAAAGGUUUAAGAUGGAGGCCAAGUUGGUUUGGGGCUUAUUUUUCCAAAAGCUGUAAAGAUAAACAGGAAGUGACUGUGCAGCACACUCUGGCUUUCAACAAGAUGGAAUGACUUUCUCUCCCCACACUGAUGAAGGGGAACAGAAUAUGUCACACCAUAUGAUGCCACUUUGGCAUUUUGAUUAUCUUGAAUUAAAAGAACUUGAGGAACAGUCAGUGAAAAAAGGACACUCUGACACUUUCCUUUGCCUCUUGAAAGCAGGAGAUAAAUCUCUGUGAGGUACCCUCUGUACCAGGAGGGUAGAAGUCACCCUUAUCACCAGACAUAGGGAAUUUAGAGCCAAGAAAGCUAUAUGAACAAAGCUUAUCACUUUACCAAUUUAUUACCCUCAGGCCCAAACCUUUUAUCUUGUCAAUUUUUCACAAAUUUAUUGUUUCUUUGUCUAAAAGGCAUAAGAGCUUCCUGCUUUAGUCACCUCUUUGAGCCUCAAAGUAUCUGUAUGUACGAAAUUAAAUUUGUUUUCUCCUAUGAAUCUGUCUUAUGCCAAUUCAAUUAUUAGACCAGCCAAAGAACUUAAAAAGAAAGAAGGGAAAAAUUUUCCACCCCUACCAUGACGUCCCUACCAGGGAGUUAUUUCACUAAGAUGUUCUUGAAUUAAUAAUGACAAUGAUUCUCCUGAGAGGAAAGCAGUUGUUUGCUUACAAGGGUUUCUGAUUUGAUUCUUGGGCACCUGUGAAAGCAGCUGUUGUCAGUAAUGCUGGGAUGUGCCUGUAGAUUUCUGGUCCUACAGACUCUGCUGGGUAUGAUAUGAGAAGAGAUCAAAAAAGAAGGCUUGUGCAUUAGUUAAGCUCUUGAUACUAUGCCAAGCACAUAAUAGGCACGCAGUAAAUGUUGUCAACUGGUUGGAUAAAUCAGCAUUUAGGCAUUAUCUAUGUGACUCAAUUUCUUUCUUUUCUUUCUCUUUCUUUCUUUUCUAUCUAUGUCUGUUUAUCUUUUUUUUUUUUUUUUUUUUUUUUUUUAGUGCCACUGGGAAGUGAGGCAGAGAGAUGGGGGAAAGAGAAUCCCAAGCAGACUCCUCACUGAAUGUGGAGCUUGAUAUAGGGCUUAAUCCCAUGACCCUGAGAUGAUGACCUGAGUUGAACCCAAAAGUUGGACACUCAACUGACUGAGCCACCCAGCCACAGCCACCUACUUGUGUGAUCCAAUAUCCAGAGGUUUUGUGAAAGGUCUACUCCCAGCUCCCAAACUUCCUAUUACCUUUACUGGGAAGCCUAGAAUUCCUCCAUAAUUGCUUGUGGCUUAAAACCUUGCUCCUUGUCAUAUGUUACCAACACUCAACAUUAAGGAAGUCUUUGGAGGAUAGUGGGAUAUAGGAGUAAUUUUUCUGGGUUUGUUGUGUUUCUUGCAGUAUGCAUUUGGAACAAUGGAGUCCUUUGAGGGCAGGGACCAGGCCUUUCAUCCCUUGUGUCCCUUAGGUCUUGCACAGAAUACACCACCCCAAAAUCUGCCUCUUUGGCACAGAGGUUAUUUUGAGAAACAGCAGACACAUGAGAAGUUCUGGAAACAGAGUAGGAGUUAGUGGUAAGGAACAUUUUUAUUUGUAAAGGGAAUCUUCAUUUGCAAGCAUGUCUCCCUCUCUGCACCAGGAAGAGAAGGAUGGUUCUAAAUCACAAGAGACUCUUGUCACUAGAGAAGGCUUGGCUCCAAUCUGCAUAACAACCUUGCCCUUGGUCACCAUGCAUUUUCUGGUAACUUUCCAUAGCUGGUCUCCCUCUACCUCUCACCACACAUAAGCUUUCUCUGUCUUUAGCUGAGGAUGGUAUUUAUACUGGUUGUAGGCCACCUCAGGGGAAUAACUCAUUUUUCUCUGUGUAUCUCCCAUAUCUUUAUGAGGUAUGCAUGUUAAUAAACUUAUGUUUGUUUUCCUCUUAUUAAUCUGUCUUAUUACGGGGGGGGGGUCUCAGCUGAGAGCUCAGAAGGAUAGAAAGCAAAUUAUAUUAGUAGGCAGUUAAGAAAUGUCCUCUGAACAAGCAACAGAGAAAAGGAACUCUUGUCUUGUUAGUGGUUAGCGUAGGGAUUGGUACACAACGGGUGCUCACUGAUGGCUUUUUCAGUGGAGGGCCAGACAAAUGGUUUUUCAGGAACACUCGGAAGUGAGAGGCAUUUUGGUCUGGAAAAGUACAGAUUCAGGCUGGAGAAAGAGGCUUUUAAAUAUAUUCCAAUCACACUCAACUGCUGACGAACUUGCUUCCAAAAUAUUAAUUUCCUCCCUUUGAUUCAGUAUAUCUCUGAGCAGAGUAAGAUGUUUAUCAGUGAGUCCUUGGAGAGAUCCCGAAGCCAGCACUCAGGCCUUUGGGAGAGAACCAAAGAGUUGUGAAAUGUUUUGUGUGGGACAGCUGGAGGCCCUGUGACUCUUGGCUUCUUCUCCCACCUUCUGCAUCCCAUCAGGGAAAGGACAUUAGACUUUGUUAAGCAUUUACUCCACAAGGAUUAUUCCCUGUGGUAUCAAAUUUAAACCACAGAACAACUCUAGACAGUGGGUAUUAUUCUUUCUUUACAUAUGGAAACUAACCCUUAGGGAGGUUAGAUAACUGGCCCCAGCUUAUGUGUGUGGGAGGAUAGGUGGCAAAACUGGAGUGCAAACAGAGUCUCAAAGCUUGUGUGUUGCACCACACUGCCCCGUGCAAGACUGCAUGAUGUCAGCACAUAAUAUCCACUGGGCUGACCAUGUGCACUUUGCAGGCACGAGAUGGGACCUGGAAGUACCUCCAUCUUACAGAUAAGGAAAAAGGCCCAAGGCCACCCAGCUGGAGCUCAGGAGCCAGGACUUGAACCCAAGGUCCAAGCCUGCCAGUCCCACUGGCUCCUCCCAUGAUGGUCUCACUGCAGCUAUGAUAUUCUUGGCACAGACCACCCAGUAGUUGCAUACUAGGCCUCCCUGAGUCUUGUGUGCCUUCAAUUUAUCCCCUGCCCCAACCCACCACUAUUUCUUAAGUUGCUUUUCUAAGUCCCAGAUCUGACCAUGCCAGUGCCCAUACCAAGGGAGCAGCAGGUGCUUCUGGAAGAUGCAUUCUUCCCCAAGUGCAAACACAAUCAGGAAAGCCAUUCCUUCCCACAAAUACUUACUCUUAAAUAAAAUGAUCUUUUUUAAAAAGUGUAUUAAGCAUUGUUAGUAAAAUUCAACCAAGUAAAUUUUAAAGAACUUAUUGGCUUUAUUCAACCAUUCAUGAGUCAGACAGUAUCCCACCUAGCGGAUAGAAAGUAGUUCUAAGGAGCCACACAAAUCAGAAGACCUACAUAGGUAGAAGGGGGCAGGACAGGAAGUUAUCAGCAAGGUGUGGAUUGUUUCAGGCAAGAUCACCUUCCUUCAGAGGAAGGCAGGGGUCUAUGAGGUAGAUGACCUCUCUGGUGCUGACAGGUAAUUCCAGGUUGACAGGUUAAGAUUACAUUCCCAAAGGAGGCUGAGACUGCAGUUCGGUGACAUGGACUUAGCACAAGCGACUCCAUUUUAGGUUUGUUACCUUUUUUUUUUUUUUAACAAUUCUCCCCUUUUGAUCAGACUCACAGUUUAUCUAGAGGCAUGAUCAAGAUGUAAGGCAUUAGCAUCACUCCAAGCUACGGCUCUGAAGUUCUUGCAGUUUUUGCUGAUCCUCUGUGGUAUCCGCAAGUUAUAGGAUCUUUUUGCUGAAUCUCUAUGAACCUCACAAGUCAUGACCUCGGGCUCACUUUUUUUAAAGAUGGUCAUUCUCUUUGUUCCUUUUUUGACAUUCCAGUCUUGGGGAGAUCAUUUGCUUGGUGAUUAGCAGCUGCAAACACACAUUUAAAGCUUUUGAGAGAAUACAGUAUACCAGGGAGACUAUUGUGAUCAUUAUAAGCAGGAUCAUUCUCAAUGUCUGGAGUGCACUUUGGAGCCAUGAUCCCCAACACCCAAACCAAUCAAAAUCAAAUAGUCCUAAAAAGACUCCAUUGGAAGCAUCACUUUCUUAAGCCAAAUGGCUCAUUCAGUAAUAUUGUGGAGCUGAGUUUCAACUUCCACCAAAGUGUUUUUUUUUAAUUUAUUUUUUAUUGGUGUUCAAUUUACUAACAUACAGAAUAACCCCCAGUGCCCGUCACCCAUUCACUCCCACCCCCCGCCCUUCUCCCCUUCCACCACCCCUAGUUCGUUUCCCAGAGUUAGCAGUCUUUAUGUUCUGUCUCCCUUUCUGAUAUUUCCCACACAUUUCUUCUCCCUUCCCUUAUAUUCCCUUUCACUAUUAUUUAUAUUCCCCAAAUGAAUGAGAACAUAUAAUGUUUGUCCUUCACCGACUGACUUACUUCACUCAGCAUAACCCAGGUGUAGCAAGUGGUAUUGGCCACAACCCAGAUGUCUCC